ensembl:lncRNA
CCCAGUUUGCUGCUCCUGAAACUUGGUGAUUUCACUGAUGCCUGAUUUUUUUUGCUUCUUCAGUUCUACUCCAGUGUUUGUUAUCAACAAGGCCUUCCUGAAAUUUAUCUCUCCCUUUUCAUUCCUCUAGACAUAACCUUGAUCCAGUUGGCUUUGAAGGCUUUCAAAGCUGUUUUCAUUAAGAUAGGAGUGAUAUAGUUUUGGAGAUACCAAUUAGGUGCCCAGAAAGUGUCCACACUGACAGACCCUUGGGGAUCUAAGAUCUAGUUUUCCCUUAGCCUCCUAGGUCUAAAAACUCAAUUGUAUCAGGGCCCCAGAUUGGACCCAGAGGGAAAUGGUUUAUAUGAAUCAGUCAUAGGAGACUGACAGGUAAGCAAUUAUAGAGAAACAGUGUAUUGGCCUUAUAGAAAAUUGUAAAGUUCUAUGAUCUGUGCAUUUGUUCCUGGUGAGAAAUCUCCAUGAAAGUCAGGACACCAUCAGAAGGGGGUUUGGUGAACAUGAAAGCAAGGUCGGGCACUAGCUGUGGGGUCUAAAAGGAAUGAAGCCACAGCGGCCCACCUCCUCGUGGGGGUGCCUCAUCACCAUUUCCCCAGGACGGUCUGGGUAAGUGCUGCCGUGCGCCACCCUUUCCUGGCCUUCAUGUUGUGGCUGAGCCUUUGCCAACAUGCUCUGUAACAACAUCGAUGUCUUUAACUACUGUCUAAGUUGCUCCAUUCAAUUCGUCCCAGACAACCUGCCUUUUAAAUACAGAGGAUUGAUUUUGUUAGCGGACCCCUCUAAGUUUAGGGGGUGUUCCUCACUUUCAUCACCUACUAGCCCAUUCCCUAGCUAUUUAGGAGCUUUACCGUCUCCAGAUUUCUAACGAAUUCUUUUGCCUAAAAGACUUUUCAUUAUCCACAACACCUCACAUUUGAUGAGCCCGAGCUGACAAAGCCCUUCCACAGGCAGUGUCUCCCAGAGUCCUCAUCUGCUUGGGCAGAAGGUCUCCUCAUUAAAGCCACAGACGCGGCGCGGAGGACCUGCUCUUCAUUUCAGAGUUGGCAUCGCCUGAAGCCCCAUUAGCGGUCUGGACAGCGGCCUUCCUCCACUCUGUGACCUUCUUGGAUAUGGCGCCUGCAUUCCAUUCACAGCACAGGGCUGGCUCCAAGGACGGGAGUCCUUUGCAAAGCACUGUUUCCCAAAGUUACUGAUGCCUUUGUUCUGAGAUAAAGUAAGCCUAUGCUCCACCCCCUCUGCCAAGCUUCUGCUUAUCACUAGGCAAGACAAAUAUCAUUGGAAUGUUUCAGUGCGCUAUUAACCAAAUUCCUAUGCAAUCCCAAUCACUUGAUUAAGUGUUUUGAGGACUCACUAGUCCUG